UACGUAGGGUGCGGGCGUUAAUCGGAAUUACUGGGCGUAAAGCGUGCGCAGGCGGUUCGUUGUGUCUGCUGUGAAAUCCCCGGGCUCAACCUGGGAAUGGCAGUGGAAACUGGCGAGCUUGAGUGUGGCAGAGGGGGGUGGAAUUCCGCGUGUAGCAGUGAAAUGCGUAGAGAUGCGGAGGAACGCCGAUGGCGAAGGCAACCCCCUGGGCUGACACUGACGCUCAGGCACGAAAGCGUGGGGAGCAAACAGG
rnacentral:rRNA from 1 species